GCUUGUCUCAAAGAUUAAGCCAUGCAUGUCUAAGUAUAAACAAAUCUAUACGUGAAACUGCGAAUGGCUCAUUAUAUCAGUUAUAGUUUAUUUGAUGGUCCUUACUACUUGGAUAACCGUAGUAAUUCUAGAGCUAAUACAUGACUCAAAGACCGACUUACGAAGGUCUGUGUUUAUUAGAUGGAAACCAAAGCGGGGAAACCCGGAUUUAUGGUGAUUCAUAAUAACCCUCCGAUCGGCUAUGCCGACGCAUCAUUCAAGUUUCUGCCCUAUCAGCUUUGGACGGUAGGGUAUUGGCCUACCGUGGCUUUAACGGGUAACGGAGAAUUAGGGUUCGAUUCCGGAGAGGGAGCCUGAGAAACGGCUACCACAUCCAAGGAAGGCAGCAG
rnacentral:rRNA from 1 species